rnacentral:rRNA from 1 species
AUUGAACGCUGGCGGCAGGCCUAACACAUGCAAGUCGAACGAGUGGCAGACGGGUGUGUCACGUCUGGGAAACUGCCUGUUGGAGGGGGUUAACUACUGGAACCGGUAGCUAAUACCGAAUAACAUCGGAUGUGACCAGAUGGGAUUAGCUAGUAGGUGGGGUAAAGGCUCACCUAGGCGACGAUCCCUAGCUGUUCUGAGAGGAUGACCAGCCACACUGGAACUGAGACACGGUCCAGACUCCUACGGGAGGCAGCAGUGGGGAAUAUUGCACAAUGGGCGCAAGCCUGAUGCAGCCAUGCCGCGUGUAUGAAGAAGGCCUUCGGGUUGUAAAGUACUUUCAGCGGGGAGGCGUUACCCGCAGAAGAAGCACCGGCUAACUCCGUGCCAGCAGCCGCGGUAAUAC